UACAGAGGGUGCGAGCGUUAAUCGGAAUUAGUACUGGGCGUAAAGGGCGUCGUAGGCGGUUUAUUGGGUGAUGAUGUGAAAGCCUUGGGACUUAACCUGAGAAUGCAUCGCAACUAAUAGACUGGAGUAGAUGAGAGGGUGGCGGAAUUUCCGGUGUAGCGGUGAAAUGCGUAGAGAUCGGAAGGAACGUCAAUGGCGAAGGCAGCCACCUGGCAUCAUACUGACGCUGGAGGCGCGAGAGCGUGGGGAGCGAACAGG
rnacentral:rRNA from 1 species